GAAAUGCGAUAAGUAAUGUGAAUUGCAGAAUUCCGUGAAUCAUCGAAUCUUUGAACGCACAUUGCGCCCUCUGGUAUUCCAGGGGGCAUGCCUGUCCGAGCGUCAUUGCGAACCCCUCAAGCACGGCUUGUGUGAUGGGCCCUCCCGCGUCUUGGUCGUCAAGACGGGCCCGAAAUGCAGUGGCGGCUUCGCGGUUAUCCGAUCAGCCAGAGCGUAUGGGGACUUUCUCUCUGUCACACGCCCGCGGCGCGGACCGACGCCUGUCGACCUUCAUUCAUCGUUUUCUCGGUUGACCUCGGAUCAGGUAGGGAUACCCGCUGAACUUAAGC
rnacentral:misc_RNA from 1 species